UAUAUAAAACAUUUAUGUGCAUUUAUAUAUUUGGUCGUAUAAAUCCUUCAUAAGAGAUAACAAUAGGCAUAACAAUAAUAAGGACAAUUCUUUAGCAAAAGUGGAGAACAAGAACGAGGCACGGAAAGAAAUUCACAUAAUUUUUUCAAGCUUCCGUCUCUUUAUUGAAUGAAAUAAUAGUAAAUAAUGAAAAAGAAGCGCUGUAAUAAACUGAGGCUUAACUUUU